rnacentral:rRNA from 1 species
AGAGUUUGAUCCUGGCUCAGGACGAACGCUGGCGGCGUGCUUAACACAUGCAAGUCGAACGGGGUCCAACUAGUGGCAACACUAGAGAAGACUUAGUGGCGAACGGGUGAGUAACACAUGAGAAACCUGCCCCGAACUCUGGAAUAACCCUCCGAAAGGGGAGCUAAUACCGGAUACCUUCUUAAUGUCGCAUGGCAUCGAGAAGAAAGUUUUUCGGUUCGGGAGGGUCUCGCGGCCUAUCAGCUUGUUGGUGGGGUAAAGGCCUACCAAGGCGUCGACGGGUAGCUGGUCUGAGAGGAUGAUCAGCCACACUGGGACUGAGACACGGCCCAGACUCCUACGGGAGGCAGCAGUGGGGAAUCUUGCGCAAUGGGCGAAAGCCUGACGCAGCAACGCCGCGUGCGGGAUGAAGGCCCUCGGGUUGUAAACCGCUUUCAGUAGGAACGAAUCUGACGGUACCUACAGAAGAAGGUCCGGCCAACUACGUGCCAGCAGCCGCGGUAACACGUAGGGGCCAAGCGUUGUCCGGAUUUAUUGGGCGUAAAGAGCUCGUAGGCGGUUCAGCAAGUCGGGUGUGAAAACUCUGGGCUCAACCCAGAGACGCCACCCGAUACUGCUGUGACUAGAGUCCGGUAGGGGAGUGGGGAAUUCCUGGUGUAGCGGUGAAAUGCACAGAUAUCAGGAGGAACACCGGUGGCGAAGGCGCCACUCUGGGCCGGCACGGACGCUGAGGAGCGAAAGCGUGGGUAGCAAACAGGAUUAGAUACCCUGGUAGUCCACGCCGUAAACGUUGGGUACUAGGUGUGGGCCCUUAUCAACGGGGUCCGUGCCGCAGCUAACGCAUUAAGUACCCCGCC